rnacentral:tRNA from 2 species
GGGGCCGUAGCUCAGCUGGGAGAGCGCCUGAAUGGCAUUCAGGAGGUCGUGAGUUCGAUCCUCAUCGGCUCCA